CGCUCCUUCGCAGAGGAAUGCUGAAGCCAGGAGGCAGUAAUGCCGCCUCCGAGAAGAAAACAGACAAGCAGGUCGAGCUGAAGAGGCGAAGAAGAAGACUUUGAAUUGGUGGCAGCGCUGCUAGCAACACAACUCAACGAGCAAGACAGAUGCAGCCAUGUGGACAUCACUAACAUCUGGGCUUUCACUCAUCCAACCUGGCAACCCCUCGCUUUAUGGUUGAGGAUCAUGGACUCUUUAGUCCAGAUGAAAACAAAAGAACUGGGCUUUACCACCGAGGUCAGACACCUGAGAUCCAAUAAAUCAAAAAAGAAGACACUUUAAUAAAGAAUCAGUAUAAGUUUCAGUCCUGGAGGUUAAAAGGAUGAAACUACUUCAAACGCUUGCGUCCUUCCCUUCAAGGCAUGCUAGAAAAAGAGCUCAGCAGUAGGUGAAGAAUGGAUAAAGAGUAAAUCCUGUGGAGAAAAGGUAGGAAGCGUCCUGGAAGAAAGACAGUUCCCGUGCCUUUAGAAAUCCCACCUGAGCUGUUAAAACAUCCCAAGGAGAAGAUUGAGUACCACUGUUCAGUUUGUGGAAAAGAAUUCCCUCAUGCUUAUAAACUAGAGCGGCACCAGCUGAUCCAUACAGGAGAAAAACCAUACUGCUGCUGCAUCUGUGGUCGGGGUUUUAACCAG